GCACUAAUGGGGUAGUGGUAACCUGGGUCGUUGCCACUUGAUUUCGACCCGCCGCGAGUUCGAUUCUCGCUUAGUGCA
rnacentral:tRNA from 1 species